rnacentral:rRNA from 1 species
UACAGAGGGGGCAAGCGUUAUUCGGAAUUAUUGGGCGUAAAGGGCGCGUAGGCGGCUUGGGCAAGUGGAUGGUGAAAUCCCUCGGCUUAACCGAGGAACUGCCGUCCAAACUGCUUUGCUUGAGGCCGGGAGAGGCGAGUGGAAUUCCCAGUGUAGCGGUGAAAUGCGUAGAUAUUGGGAGGAACACCAGUGGCGAAGGCGGCUCGCUGGACCGGUUCUGACGCUGAUGCGCGAAAAGCGUGGGGAGCAAACGGGG